CCAUGUCCGUGCUAUAACGUGAGCUUCUUUCUUCCUAAUGUUAUCGACGCGACGCGAAACAUCCAUCGCGUUAAUCUGCUGGAAAUUCUGAUUGGCCGAGUUCCGUAUUGACUCGGCAUCGCGAUCGUCGAUAUUCACGGUGUGAUCCUCCUCGUCCGGAAACAUUUGGGGCGUCAGACCGAAUGAUUUCUCCAAUUGUGCGUACAGCUGACAGCGAUUGUACACGUGCAAUUCGAAGCCGUUCAACAUCACUGACAGUCGGGUAUCGGAAUGUGAAAGAUCUGGAAAAAGAUCGGCAAGUGUGUACCUUCGGAUACGUCUUUGGGAACAUAACUCCUCCACCAUCUGAAUAUAAGCCAUCCGUCUUGAACUCUGAUACUAUAAUCUGUUGUAAUAUAAACUAUAUCUCUAAACAUUAUUUUUCCGCUUAACACGCUUAGAGUGAAAGACCCUGUAUGAUAACAAGAAGAGAAAACAAUGUUGCGAUUAUUUUUACUUUACGGAUACGAGAGAUUCGUAGGAGAGAAUCAGUCGAUCCGGUCGGACGAAAGAAACUCGACGAGAGAAACUCCCGGAGUCCGAAUUCCUUUUUCGCUUGGCGAGCGACUGAUUUUCUUGGGAUCAACCAAUUUUAAUCUAUUUUUCCCGGGGGGCCCUGGGUGACUCUCUCUCUCUCUCUCUCUCCAGUCAAUUAUCGUAUCAUAAACACACACACGUGUGUCAGAGAAAAAACGCCGGUCCUCCUUCACGCCCUCAGCUCGGCGGAUUUCUGAUAAGAAGACACUUUAAUAUCGGCCCUUGGCUAUCGGAUGUCUUUCAACUGAUUUCGAGAAUUCCAAAUAACCAAAUCUCAAUUUUAAAGUGUCUAAAAAACGUGGUCAGAAGAGACUGACCAAGGACCCACGUUCGAAAUUUGUGGAACAAAAUGAGUCCUUGAUUGAUCGGUCGGCGGCUGGGAUUUGAAACUCGAGUCCCCUCCCGCUUGCUAGACGGCUGCUUUAACCACCUAAGCUAUCGCGACCGACUGACCACUUCUUCUCUCCUCGUCCUUAUAACGCAUUACUUCGUUUCUUUUAACACGGUUUCGAUGCUACGCGAAACGAAUCUCUCGUAAUAUAUGUAUGGUUGGGUGUUGACUGUACAUGAAACAGUAUUUUCUGUAUAUUUCAAUUCUUACCUACUUUAACGUAUCCAUCUCUAAUAACAAAUCGAUUCAAUAAUUUUGUCAAUAUGUAACCGAUCACUCUGCUAUUGUAAUAAGCUAUAUAAAUGAUCCAGGAUGUGGCGGAUACCAGCGAGCAAAGUAAAUAUAUAAAACUACUGUCCAUCUUAAGGUCAUCGAGGAUGACAUGGUCGGAAUAAUUCCAGAAUGCUGGUUCAAUUCCGGAAAGAGAUGGAACGGUAGCGUUAUACAGCUCGUUCUCCUCCAUGAUCGAUGUGUUUUCUUGCAUUUACGAAAUCAAGAGCCGUUUCUCAUUUUGGUUGUUAAACACUGAAAAAAAACGCAAAGAAAAUUAUAUCCAUUAAAACAGCGUAAAAAUAACCGUUGGCCUAUAUUUCGAGAACAAUUCGCUAUCGUCGAAGCCACGGAAAUCGGAGCGAGAUUUAUUAUCUACGUUCGUGGAAGACUCCGAAACAGAGAAGCAAAAGUUUGUAAACAUAACCUAAACGGUGGACUGUAAUUAACGAUGAUCCUUACAAUUUACCAAACAGUUGCGUUAAAUAUUGUACUGGAUCCGUUGAUUUUUAUCUUUCGUCACCGAUACGAUCGAGAUUCAAUGAAACAUGUUAUCUGUUGAACAACGAUGAACAUUGCAAACAAUUAUUAUCGAUGGACACGGUCACGUUAAUUUUUCCCAGCACUGCGAUAGAACAACCACGGUACAUUAUGUAUUCCCCUGGCAUUCAAUGACAUUUAAAUCGUCUUAUCAGCUUAUCAGCAAAUGCAAAGUACACACACGCGUGCACACACACACAUACACAGAGAGCAUUCUUAUCAAAAUGCACUUAAAAAAAAAAAGAAGAAAAUAUUAUAUCAGCAAAUGUCAAGUGAAACUAACGUGAUCGGCCAAUUUACCUGUAUUUGAUGCUUAUAUAAGAAUUGCAUUCAAUUUUUGUUGUGUCACUCAUGGUUUAGUAUUUAUUAGUAUAUCAGUUUUAAUAGAUGUCAUAGAACUGUCAUCGAUGGACAGUAAUACACAUAACCGCUCCAUAGUUGACUACUGACAUUAACUACGAACGAAAUCAUGAGGCUCGAUCUAUCAUUGUUAAAGGUCCUCACACACGACCACGUCGUCCCACAUACACAUUACCAAACUUGGCCCCAACGAACCGAAGAUUUGCUCUCACGAAUCGCAAGUUCGGCGGAAGAACCGAUUAAGAUCAUAAAUAAUAUCAAGAAAAUGUUUAUUAUUCUUUAAGUUUAACAGCAUUGAAUCGACUAAUCAGCAUAAAACAAUCCCCCCCCCCCCUGCGACUCCUUGGCAAGCUGGCCCAAAGUUGUCCAGAAUUUGCAUAAUAUUUGCUGCUGCAUUCAUGGACCUAAAGGACUGUGCAUUCGGGUGAGGGAGGUCAAGAUCUUGGUCAAUGUUAUUUUAGACCAAUAUCCAGUAAGAGUUUAAUGAGGCUGAGACAAUUACGAGGGCGGGAAUUCACAUCUCGGCCAUAUUCCGCUGGUGCUGCCGACUGUUGUCGAAUUGUGAAACUGCACGUUUGAAUUAAAUUUCAACGUAGACACGAA